UCAGAAUCAACGCAGGCGGCGUGCCUAACACAUGCAAGUCGUACGCGAAAGUGGAGCAAUCCAUGAGUAGAGUGGCGAACGGGUGAGUAGCGCGUGGGUGNCCUACCUUCGAAUGGGGGAUAACGUCCCGAAAGGGACGCUAAUACCGCAUAACAUCCUGCCUUUGAACAGGUGGAGAUCAAAGCCGGGGAUCGCAAGACCUGGCGUUUGGAGAGGGGCCCGCGUCUGAUUAGCUAGUUGGUGAGGUAACGGCCCACCAAGNCGACGAUCAGUAUCCGGCCUGAGAGGGCGGACGGACACACUGGGACUGAGACACGGCCCAGACUCCUACGGGAGGCAGCAGUGGGG
rnacentral:rRNA from 1 species